CUUUGAUGGCUCAACUGGUAGAGUGGAGGCCUACAGACUUCAUGAAUGUGGACAUCCUUUGGUUGCUGGUUUGAUUCUGGCUCGAAAGA
rnacentral:tRNA from 1 species